rnacentral:sRNA from 1 species
GGGUGCUUAGUUUAUUUUUAGACUGCCAUUACUUUUUUUCUUUUCUUUUGAGACAGUCUUGCUGUUGUCGCCCAGGCUGGAAUGCAAUGGCACAACCUUGGCUCACUGCAACCCCUGCCUCCCGGGGUCAAGCAAUUCUGCCUCAGCCUCCCAAGUAGCUGGGAUUAUAGGCACCCGCCACCAUGUCCAGCUAAUUUUUUUGUAUUUUUAGUAGAGAUGGGGUUUCACCACAUUGGCCAGGCUGAUCUGAAACUCCUGACCUCAGGUGAUCCACCCACCUUGGCCUCCCAAAGUGCUGGGAUUACAGGCGUGAGGCACCGUGCCCGGCCAGAUUGCCAUUACUUUUAAUGGCAAAAACUGCAGUUACUUUUGCAGCAACCUGGUGGUAUGUAUUCAAGGUUAUAAAUUUCUCAGAACUCUAGCUGUGUCCCACGAGUUUUAAAAUGUGGUACUUUUGUUAUCAUAUAAAUCUAUUUUCCAUUAUAAUUUCUUCAUGUAUCAUUGUUAAUUCCCGAACAUAAGAGAUGUUUCAGUUACUAUAAAAUUAUUUCUAGUUUAAUAUCAUUGUAGUCAAAGAAUAUGUUUUGUACAAUUUGCAUUCUUUGAGAUUGACAUUUUCUUCAUGGCUCAGCGAGUGGUCAGUUUUUGUGAAUAUCUUGUGUUUGAAAAUGAAUUCUGCAACUGUUGAGUGCAGUGUUACAUGUCAGUUGGGUUAAGUUUGUUAAUGUCAUUCAAAUCUUCUAUGUCUUGAUUUGCCUGCUAAUUCUAUUAUUAUUUCUGGAACUAAAUUAGUUUGAUGUUUCUGUUAGUUAUUGACUGAGGUGUGCUAAUCUCCCAUUAUGUGGAUUUAUCUAUUUCUUCAGUUGUAGAUAGGACAUUGAUAGAUACAGAAGUACCAGGACAAAAGCAGGGAGAUCUUUUUUCCAAAAUCAGGAGAAAAAGUGACAUCUGGAAAACCUAUAGGGAAAGGCAUAACAGAUGGUGAGGAUACUUUAUCUUUAGUAAAAGAGAGAGCCUUCCUGUGGCAACAUGGAGAAGGGAAGAGGUAGAAUUGAGGAGUCAGCUCAGUUAGAAGCAGGGAGCUGGGAAUUCUGUUCAUGUGAUUUAGCAUCAGUGAUACGGCAAAUGUGGGACUAAGGGUGGUGAUCAGAGGGUUAAAAUUGUGUGUUUGUUUUAGCGCUGCUGGGACAUCGCCUUGGGUCCCCUCAAACAGAUUCCCAUGAAUCUCUUCAUCAUGUACAUGGCAGGCAAUACUAUCUCCAUCUUCCCUACUAUGAUGGUGUGUAUGAUGGCCUGGCGACCCAUUCAGGCACUCAGCCUCUCAAGUAGCUGGGACUACAGGUGUGCACCCCCGUGGCUCGCUAAUUUUUGUAUUUUUUGUAGAGACAGGGUUUCGCCAUGUUGCCCAGGCUGGUCUUGAACUCCUGGGCUCAAGCGAUCUGCCUGCCUUGGCCUCCCAAAGUGUUUAGCUAAGAUUAGCUACUGCGCCUGGCCUGGAAGUUCUUUUUUAAGGAUAGGCAAAAUAGAGCUUGUGGUUAAAGUAUUAAGUAAUUGAUUCAGGAAGUUAUUUUAACACUCAUUUGCCACUCACCUAUUUAUUCUUUCUUCUUUCAGAGAAUGGAGUUCAGUGGUGGAGGACUGCUUUUGUGAACAUGAGAAAGCAGCGCCUGGUCCCUAUGUAUUUGGGUCUUAUUUACACCUUCUUUAAGCCCAGUGGCUCCUCAGCAUACCCUUAAACUAAUCACUUAUGUUAAAAAGAACCAAAAGACUCUUUUCUCCAUGGUGGGGUGACAGGUCCUAGAAGGACAAUGUGCAUAUUACUACAAACACAAAGAAACUAUACGACAACCCAUGACUGAAAAUAAUGUAGAAAACUUUAUUUAUGUUUCCAGUACAGAGCACAACAAAAAAAAAAACAUAACUAUGUAAACAAGAGAAUAAUUGCUGCUAAAUCAAGAACUGUUGCAGCAUCUUCUUUCAAUAAAUUAAAUGGUUGAGAACAAUGCAU